UGGAAUUCAAAAGAGAGAAUUCUAUGGUUCUGAGCCACCAUGUAGAUGCUGUGAACCAAACCAGAGUCAUCUGUAAGAACAUGUUUUUGUUUGUUUUGGCUUUUUGUUUGUUUUGAGAUAGAGUUUCUCUGUAUAAGAGUUCUGGCUGUUCUGGAACUCAUUUUGUAGACCUGACUGGCCUCGAGCUCACACAGCUUUUCCCCCGAAGCACUAAGAUUAAAGGCGUACACCACCACGUUCUGCUGCAACAAGCACUCUUAACUGCUGAGCCGUCUCUCCAGCCCUCAAAGGACACAUUUUUUGAGACAGACAGAAACACAGAUCAACUAUAAUAGGUGACAUUUGACAAGAACAUUGUAUGGCAAAGCUCUCGAGACUGGAGAGAUGUGUUUGAUGCCAGAACAACUGUGUUUAUGAAUAAGAUACUGACAGAAGUCCACCUGAGAGGCACUGACAAAGAGAAGCGGAACUCAGAAAAAGGAAAUACUUUCCAAGAAGCGCCAGGUGAACCAACCAGAGGAACCCACGCCCUUCCCAACCACUUGCAAGUCAAGGAAACACGGAAGGCUCAAGAAUUUCACCGUCGGAGUCCCGUCGUCACUCCCGAGGCGCCCAGUGGACAGAAGUGGGGUGUGGGGUCUCCGUGGACCCUACGUGGCAUCGCCACCGCUGCAAGGCUUUGUGCGGGGAAGGCAGAGGCUGCGGGAGGUUGCGGGAGGCUGCGGG
rnacentral:lncRNA from 1 species